rnacentral:misc_RNA from 1 species
UACGUAGGUGGCAAGCGUUGUCCGGAAUUAUUGGGCGUAAAGCGCGCGCAGGUGGUUUCUUAAGUCUGAUGUGAAAGCCCGCGGCUCAACCGUGGAGGGUCAUUGGAAACUGGGGAACUUGAGUGUAGAAGAGGAAAGUGGAAUUCCAAGUGUAGCGGUGAAAUGCGUAGAUAUUUGGAGGAACACCAGUGGCGACGGCGACUUUCUGGAUUGAAACUGACACUGAGGCGCGAAAGCGUGGGGAGCAAACAGG